rnacentral:rRNA from 1 species
UACGUAGGGUGCGAGCGUUAAUCGGAAUUACUGGGCGUAAAGCGUGCGCAGGCGGUUUUUUAAGCCAGAUGUGAAAUCCCCGGGCUUAACCUGGGAACUGCAUUUGGAACUGGAAGACUAGAGUACGGCAGAGGGGGGUAGAAUUCCACGUGUAGCAGUGCAAUGCGUAGAUAUGUGGAGGAAUACCGAUGGCGAAGGCAGCCCCCUGGGUCGAAACUGACCCUCAUGCACGAAAGCGUGGGGAUCAAACAGG